UACGAAGGGACCUAGCGUUGUUCGGAAUUACUGGGCGUAAAGGGCGCGUAGGCGGUCUUUUAAGUUAGAUGUGAAAUCCCUGGGCUUAACCUAGGAAUGGCAUUUAAUACUGGGUGACUAGAGUUUGAGAGGGGAUAGUGGAAUUGCGAGUGUAGAGGUGAAAUUCGUAGAUAUUCGCAGGAACACCAGUGGCGAAGGCGGCUAUCUGGCUCGAGACUGACGCUGAGGCGCGAAAGCGUGGGGAGCAAACAGG
rnacentral:rRNA from 1 species